rnacentral:rRNA from 1 species
AGUCGUAACAAGGUAACCGUAGGUGAACCUGCGGUUGGAUCAUUACUAAUGAUUGGGUCUUCUUUACGGAGGACCCUACCAACAACUGUGCAUCCAGUGUUUACAACUCUUUGGAGUUGUGGGCACUAUAAACGUUAUUUUAGUCUGAAUUUUUCAUACGAAAAAAAUACAACUUUAGACAACGGAUCUCUUGGCUCUCGCAACGAUGAAGAACGCAGCGAAAUGCGAUACGUAAUGUGAAUUGCAGAAUUCCGUGAAUCAUCAAAUCUUUGAACGCACAUUGCACUUUACUCUGUAAAGUAUGCCUGUUUGAGAAUCUAUAGUAAUUCUCUGCGGUUUUUGAAAAAAGACUGCGGGAUUUGAGACCUGGGCUUGCAAAAGACCCUGUCUUUAAAUAGAUUGCCUGUCCCCUGUUUUGGGUCCUAAGGGUAACAUGUUGACUGUAGCUUCGGCUGCUCUAUUCAUGACUGCUCUCAAGACACUCGACAGAAAGGAAGGGCCCACCAUCUGAACAAUGGUCUCAAAUCAGGUAGGAAGACCCGCUGAACUUAAGCAUAUCAAUAAGCGGAGGAAAAGAAACUAACAAGGAUUCCCCUAGUAACGGCGAGUGAAGCGGGAACAGCUCAAAUUUGAAAUCUCACUGUUUUACAGUGCGAAUUGUAGUUUAGAGAAACGUUUUCGGUGUAGACUGCAGGUACAAGUUCUUUGGAACGAGACAUCAUAGAGGGUGAAAAUCCCGUCUUUGACCUGCGGCUCUGCGCCAUAUGAUACGUUUUCCAAGAGUCGGUUUGUUUGGGAAUGCAGACCAAAAUGGGUGGUAAAUACCAUCUAAAGCUAAAUAUUGGCGAGAGACCGAUAGCGAACAAGUACCGUGAGGGAAAGAUGAAAAGAACUUUGAAAAGAGAGUUAAAUAGUACGUGAAAUUGUCUAAAGGGAAACGCUUGGAACCAGUAUUGCAGCUGUUAUUCAGCGGUGCAUCGCGCCGUGUAUUUAGCAGUUUGCGAGUCAACAUCAGUUUUGCCUGCAGGAAAAAUGCGCUGGAAGGUAACCUUCGGGUAUUAUAGCCAGUGUUUCUACUGUGGGCGGGACUGAGGACUGCAGUGUUUUUUGGGUAACUAGUCGCCUUUUGAAGUGGUGUUUUGGACUGCAUGCAGACCACGGCAUUACCAUGAAGCCCGGCUGGGGUUCCACACCAACACUUUGGAUGUUGACGAAAUGGUUUUAAGCGACC